rnacentral:lncRNA from 1 species
CGAGAAGGAAGGUGGCUUGAUGCACGCCGUCAUCCCGCGUGUCUAAUGUUGGAGGUUAAAUCAAGCAC